CAUCCAAUUUGAUUGGGAAUUAUCUGUGUUACAAA
rnacentral:sRNA from 1 species